rnacentral:lncRNA from 1 species
UGGAAGCAAACAUCCUCUCUUGGCUUCUGCAGCAAAUUCCAAGUGGCAAUGGAACUUUACCUUCGCUGACUCUUUUGUUUCUUUUUUCCCGUGGAUUCUGUGCUUUUGUUUUUGUUUCUGGUUUUGGUUUUUAUAUAACUCAGAAGUUAUUUCCUAAUGUGCCAGAAAUGUUUGUGAAUUUGGUUUUAUAGCCUAUUUGAUCAUCCUUUUUAGGUGGAGACCUAUUCUGUUGGGUUAGAGAUGACAGAAAAUCUUAUUUGUCGGUUGGUUUGUUUGUUCAAGAAUACACUGACCUUCUACAAGAAAGGAGAGCUCUUUGACACCUGGAAAUUUUACAGAAGCUUGGGACAGCUCUGAAUGGCAACACGGUCCUGAGAUAUGUGAUUACCUGGGACUUUCAUUGGACCUGCAUUUCAGCUCUACUCUCCUCACUGCCCUAUGCUGCUUUGACCCUAAAAGUGAAGCCAGCUUGGCCAGGUGCAGUGACUCACACCUGUAAUCCCAGCACUUUGGGAGGCCGAGGUGGGCAAAUCAAGAAGUCAGGAAAUCGAGACCACCCUGGCCAACAUUGUGAAACACCAUCUCUACUAAAACACAAAAAAAUUAGCCAGGUGUGGUGGCACGCACCUGUAGUCCCAGCUACUCGGGAGGCUGAGGCAGGGGAAUCACUUGAACCCGUGAGGAGGAAAUUGCAGCGAGCCAAGAUCGCGCCACUGCACCCCAGCCUGGGCGACAGAGAGAGACUCCAUCUCAAAAACAAAACAAAACAAAACAAAAAAAACAAAAAGUGAAGCCAACUCAAUUGUCUCAUAGAACUGAUCUUUACGGUGUUUUUAAAUAAACAUAGAAAUUGGCCCUCCCAGUCUUAAAACUUCAAAAACUUACAUUUGUCUUACCUCAGUUCCUUUCUCAGGAAUCCAAUCAUCAAGGCUCCCAGAUAGUAUCAAUGAACGGAAACUUACCAGAUCACGAUAUCUGGACAAUGAGAUGUCAGAUCCCCCUCAUCCAUCCUGAUUACCUAACUGACUACCUGCUUCCUGUUGGCCAACUACUCUUCCUUACCCCUCCCUAAUUCUUGUUUUCCCACAAAUGGUUACAUUUCUGUCCUGCUAUAGAAGCCCUUAAUUUUAAUUGGUCGAGGAGAUGGAUUUGAGACUGAUUUUUUGCUCUCCUUGGCUGUUGCACCUGAAUAGCCUUUUUCCCUGGCAAUACUUUUUGUCUCAGUGAUUGGCUUUCUGUGCAGUGAGCAAUGGGACCAAACUUCUGGUGUUUUGGUAACAAAUUUUGGUUUCCUGACUGUGAAUGCAUUGCUUGUGACUCAGCUGCCAUGAGCUGGGAGAGUUUCAAAAGCCCUCUAAGCAGCUACCUGACCAUUUUGGCCAGAGGUGGAUUUUCGUCUCUCCCCAUUUGGGCCCACUUCUGCCAACCCCAACCAUGUUCCUGAUUGCCUAGGAAGAACAGCCUUUGAAAUUUGACGUCUAUGUACAGAAAGGUACAAACUGUUGCCUAAGGAUACAGGGUGUGUGGCUGGUGGCCUCAACAGGCCCCACGGCUCAGGCACUCAGACCCAAGCUGGUCCCUCAGACUAAAUGGUUUUCCUGGGAACUCUGACUCUGGCCACAAGAUCAAGACUGACAAAUUUCCUUUCUCUGUUUAUGGAGGGAGACUUCACAACAUUCACUGAAAGAGGAGCAAAGGACCUGGUUUUUGCCAUGACUGGCUUUGGCCCCGUGAAUGAAUGUUUUUCUGGCAUUGGAAAGCGGAUAGCAAAGAGAGCAGAACCACAAAUGGGCUAUGAGGAAAUGUGUUCAAUGAAGAAAACAAAAUCUCUGACAAGAUCCAACAUAGGACAACAUCUCAGCAUCUUCUGUGAUUUGUGAACCCAAGUAAAGCACUUCUUAGAGUUAUCUGGCACAUUCGCAACUAAUAGCUUUCUGUGAAUAAAUACUGUGGCAACCACGUUAACUGUACAAAAACAAAUUGCUUAUUUCUUAUAUCCAUGCUGGAAGAUUAUCUGGCUGACCUUAUCAGCUGUGAUGUCAGGAAUGUCAGCCAGUUAUCCUGUGGUGCAUUCAGCUGGGUCAUUGUACCCCAUCAGUGAGGCAAUUGCAAAGUUCCAUCUGGACAGAG